UGUACUAUGCUGAUCAGGUGUCUGCUCUGAUUUUGGCAUCAAUGUGGUGACCUCCCAGGAGCAUGGGACCACCGGGUUGCCUAAGGAGGGGUGAACCAGCCCAGGUCAGAAAUGGAGCAGGUCAAAACUCCCGUGCUGAUCAGUAGUAGUAUCACACUUGUGAACAGUCA
rnacentral:sRNA from 1 species